GCGGGGGGGUUGAAUGGGGUAUGGCUGCUGGAGCCCGGGCGAGGGGCUUGGUCGUGCUCCGUGAGGGGCGAGUCCACUUUCUCUGGGGCUGCGGAGGGCCCUAAGCCUCGUGGGGAUGCUGCGAGGCAGCUGUCCCGUGUCGUCGUUUUCUGCCUUUUGGCUUCUGGGCUGUGUCCCGUGAGGGAGCCUGGCCCUGUGAGCAUGGGAGCCGCUGCUUAAAAGCAAGCUACUACUCGAGGUGUUGCUUUUGAGAGGAAGUGUGGCUAUUAAUGGCUGGAAAGGCAGAAAAAAACCCACUGAUGGUCCAUCAUCUUAUGACUUUAAGAUGGUUCCUUGCUUUUUGGGGCAUGGGUCUCGCUCUUCUUUGUGUGUUUGCAGCUGGGAGGAGAUGGAGACCUGUGGAAAUGCAGGGCACUUUAUAUAUAUAUUAUUUGAAAUAGUGCUGCUAGAAGCUGGUGGAGAGCAGCUGCUCUCAUGGCAUUGGAGAACUGCUGUAGUGUGUGUUCAUUUACAGACACAAGAACUAUGUAUGCCCGUGGGACAGAGGUCCUGCUGAGGCUGGAAGCAGAUAGCUGUGAAG
rnacentral:lncRNA from 1 species